AAUGGGGGCAACCCUGAUCCAGCCAUGCCGCGUGAGUGAAGAAGGCCUUAGGGUUGUAAAGCUCUUUCACCAGGGAAGAUAAUGACGGUACCUGCUAAAGAAGUCCCGGCUAACUCCGUGCCAGCAGCCGCGGUAAUACGGAGGGGACUAGCGUUGUUCGGAAUUACUGGGCGUAAAGAGUACGUAGGCGGCGCAUCAAGUCGGGUGUGAAAGCCCGGGGCUCAACCCCGGAAUUGCAUUCAAAACUGGUGGGCUAGAGAUCGGAAGAGGUAAGUGGAAUUCCCAGUGUAGAGGUGAAAUUCGUAGAUAUUGGGAAGAACACCGGUGGCGAAGGCGACUCACUGGUCCGAUACUGACGCUGAGGUACGAAAGCGUGGGGAGCAAACAGGAUU
rnacentral:rRNA from 1 species